GCGAGUUACGAUUUGUUGCAAGGUUAAGCGGAAAAAGCGGAGCCGUAGCGAAAGCGAGUCUGAAUAGGGCGCAUAAGUAACAGGUCGUAGACCCGAAACCAGGUGAUCUACCCAUGUCCAGGAUGAAGGUAAGGUAAUACUUACUGGAGGUCCGAACCCACGCACGUUGAAAAGUGCGGGGAUGAGGUGUGGGUAGCGGAGAAAUUCCAAUCGAACUUGGAGAUAGCUGGUUCUCUCCGAAAUAGCUUUAGGGCUAGCCUCGAGGUAAAGAGUCAUGGAGGUAGAGCACUGUUUGGACUAGGGGCCCUUCUCGGGUUACCGAAUUCAGAUAAACUCCGAAUGCCAUGUACUUAUACUCGGGAGUCAGACUGCGAGUGAUAAGAUCCGUAGUCGAAAGGGAAACAGCCCAGACCACCAGUUAAGGUCCCCAAAUAUAUGUUAAGUGGAAAAGGAUGUGGGGUUGCUUAGACAACCAGGAUGUUGGCUUAGAAGCAGCCACCAUUGAAAGAGUGCGUAAUAGCUCACUGGUCGAGUGACCCCGCGCCGAAAAUGUACCGGGGCUAAACAUAUUACCGAAACUGUGGAUGAACCUCUUUAGAGGUUCGUGGUAGGAGAGCGUUCUAAGGGCGGUGAAGUCAGACCGGAAGGACUGGUGGAGCGCUUAGAAGUGAGAAUGCCGGUAUGAGUAGCGAAAGAAGGGUGAGAAUCCCUUCCACCGAAUAUCUAAGGUUUCCUGAGGAAGGCUCGUCCGCUCAGGGUUAGUCGGGACCUAAGCCGAGGCCGAUAGGCGUAGGCGAUGGACAACAGGUAGAGAUUCCUGUACCAGUGCUAAUUGUUUAACCGAUGGGGUGACACAGAAGGAUAGGGAAUCGCACGAAUGGAAAUGUGCGUCCAAGCAGUGAGUGUGAGAAGUAGGCAAAUCCGCUUCUCGCGAAGCAUGAGCUGUGAUGGGGAAGGAAAUUAAGUACGGAAGUUCCUGAUUUCACGCUGUCAAGAAAAGCCUCUAGGAAGAGUAGUACUGCCCGUACCGCAAACCGACACAGGUAGAUGAGGAGAGAAUCCUAAGGUGAGCGAGAGAACUCUCGUUAAGGAACUCGGCAAAAUGACCCCGUAACUUCGGGAGAAGGGGUGCUCUAUUAGGGUGCAAGCCCGAGAGAGCCGCAGUGAAUAGGCCCAGGCGACUGUUUAGCAAAAACACAGGUCUCUGCAAAACCGUAAGGUGACGUAUAGGGGCUGACGCCUGCCCGGUGCUGGAAGGUUAAGAGGAGUGCUUAGCUUCGGCGAAGGUACGAAUUGAAGCCCCAGUAAACGGCGGCCGUAACUAUAACGGUCCUAAGGUAGCGAAAUUCCUUGUCGGGUAAGUUCCGACCCGCACGAAAGGCGCAACGAUCUGGGCACUGUCUCAACGAGAGACUCGGUGAAAUUAUAGUACCUGUGAAGAUGCAGGUUACCCGCGACAGGACGGAAAGACCCCGUGGAGCUUUACUGCAACCUGAUAUGGAAUGUUUGUACCGCUUGUACAGGAUAGGUAGGAGCCGAAGAGACGUGUGCGCUAGCAUACGAGGAGGCAAUGGUGGGAUACUACCCUGGCUGUAUGACCAUUCUAACCCGCCACGCUUAGCGCGUGGGGAGACAGUGUCAGGUGGGCAGUUUGACUGGGGCGGUCGCCUCCUAAAGAGUAACGGAGGCGCCCAAAGGUUCCCUCAGAAUGGAUGGAAAUCAUUCGCAGAGUGUAAAGGCACAAGGGAGCUUGACUGCGAGACUGACAAGUCGAGCAGGGACGAAAGUCGGGCUUAGUGAUCCGGUGGUUCCGCAUGGAAGGGCCAUCGCUCAACGGAUAAAAGCUACCCCGGGGAUAACAGGCUUAUCUCCCCCAAGAGUCCACAUCGACGGGGAGGUUUGGCACCUCGAUGUCGGCUCGUCGCAUCCUGGGGCUGUAGUCGGUCCCAAGGGUUGGGCUGUUCGCCCAUUAAAGCGGCACGCGAGCUGGGUUCAGAACGUCGUGAGACAGUUCGGUCCCUAUCCGUCGCGGGCGCAGGAAAUUUGAGAGGAGCUGUCCUUAGUACGAGAGGACCGGGAUGGACACACCGCUGGUGUACCAGUUGUUCCGCCAGGAGCAUCGCUGGGUAGCUAUGUGUGGCAGGGAUAAACGCUGAAAGCAUCUAAGCGUGAAGCCCCCCUCAAGAUGAGAUUUCCCAUUUCUUCGGAAAGUAAGAUCCCUGAAAGAUGAUCAGGUAGAUAGGUUUGGAGUGGAAGUGUAGCGAUACAUGGAGCGGACAAAUACUAAUCGAUCGAGGACUUAACCAAAA
rnacentral:rRNA from 1 species